rnacentral:rRNA from 1 species
AUUGAACGCUGGCGGCAGGCCUAACACAUGCCAGUCGAGCGGAUGAAGGGAGCUUGCUCCUGGAUUCAGCGGCGGACGGGUGAGUAAUGCCUAGGAAUCUGCCUGGUAGUGGGGGAUAACGUCCGGAAAUGGGCGCUAAUACCGCAUACGUCCUGAGGGAGAAAGUGGGGGAUCUUCGGACCUCACGCUAUCAGAUGAGCCUAGGUCGGAUUAGCUAGUUGGUGGGGUAAAGGCCUACCAAGGCGACGAUCCGUAACUGGUCUGAGAGGAUGAUCAGUCACACUGGAACUGAGACACGGUCCAGACUCCUACGGGAGGCAGCAGUGGGGAAUAUUGGACAAUGGGCGAAAGCCUGAUCCAGCCAUGCCGCGUGUGUGAAGAAGGUCUUCGGAUUGUAAAGCACUUUAAGUUGGGAGGAAGGGCAGUAAGUUAAUACCUUGCUGUUUUGACGUUACCAACAGAAUAAGCACCGGCUAACUUCGUG